rnacentral:rRNA from 1 species
AGUGAACGCUGGCGGUAGGCCUAACACAUGCAAGUCGAACGGCAGCACAGUAAGAGCUUGCUCUUACGGGUGGCGAGUGGCGGACGGGUGAGGAAUACAUCGGAAUCUACUUUUUCGUGGGGGAUAACGUAGGAAAACUUACGCUAAUACCGCAUACGACCUACGGGUGAAAGCAGGGGAUCUUCGGACCUUGCGCGAUUGAAUGAGCCGAUGUCGGAUUAGCUAGUUGGCGGGGUAAGGGCCCACCAAGGCGACGAUCCGUAGCUGGUCUGAGAGGAUGAUCAGCCACACUGGAACUGAGACACGGUCCAGACUCCUACGGGAGGCAGCAGUGGGGAAUAUUGGACAAUGGGCGCAAGCCUGAUCCAGCCAUACCGCGUGGGUGAAGAAGGCCUUCGGGUUGUAAAGCCCUUUUAUUGGGAAAGAACAGCAGCAGGUUAAUACCUCGCUGUUUUGACGGUACCCAAAGAAUAAGCACCGGCUAACUUCGUG